GAUGAAGAACGUAGCGAAAUGCGAUACGUAAUGUGAAUUGCAGAAUUCAGUGAAUCAUCGAAUCUUUGAACGCAUAUUGCGCUCUUUGGUAUUCCGAAGAGCAUGCUUGUUUGAGUAUCAGUAAACACCUCAACCUCUUCUUGAUUUUUCAAAAGGAGGGUGGACUUGAGCUAUCCCAACAACCUUUACCGGUCGGCGGGCGGCUUGAAAUGCAGGUGCAGCUGGACUUUUAUCUGAGCUAAAAGCAUAUCUAUUUAGUCCUCGUCAAACAGGAUUAUUACUUUUGCUGCAGCUAACAUAAAGGAUAAUUGUCCUCUUUGCUGACUGAUGCAGGAUUUUACGACACUUUAUGUGUUGUUCAACUCGAUCUCAAAUCAAGUAAGACUACCCGCUGAACUUAAGCAUUCAAUAAGCGGAGGA
rnacentral:misc_RNA from 1 species